AAAGAUUUCUUUGUCAAUUUGCUUUUCAAACAAAAAAAUUGCAUCUUUGAAAAGCAAAACACAUGAUUCCUGCUGAUAGUCUACAUAGUCAACAGUUUUUCUGUGCAAUGGCUUCAUACACA